GUGAGAAGUCGUCUGGUGCGCUUCCCUUUGGCACAAUGUUUGCUUUGUUUUUCCUAUGGUUCGGUAUAUCGGUGCCACUGGUGUAUGUUGGAGGUUACUUGGGUACAAAGAAGCCAGCCGAGGAAAACCCUGUGAAAACCAACAAGAUCCCGAGGCAGGUCCCUGAGCAGGCUUGGUACAUGCAGCCGGCAUUCUCGAUAUUGAUAGGUGGUAUACUCCCGUUCGGGGCUGUCUUUAUUGAGCUCUUCUUCAUUCUGACCUCGAUAUGGCUGAACCAGUUCUACUAC
rnacentral:misc_RNA from 1 species